AUAUAAAUUUAUCUAUAUAAAUAUA
rnacentral:tRNA from 1 species